CAGCCGCCGCGGUAAUACAGAGGGUGCGAGCGUUAAUCGGAUUUACUGGGCGUAAAGCGUGCGUAGGCGGCUAAUUGAGUCGGAUGUGAAAUCCCCGAGCUUAACUUGGGAAUUGCAUUCGAUACUGGUUAGCUAGAGUGUGGGAGAGGAUGGUAGAAUUCCAGGUGUAGCGGUGAAAUGCGUAGAGAUCUGGAGGAAUACCGAUGGCGAAGGCAGCCAUCUGGCCUAACACUGACGCUGAGGUACGAAAGCAUGGGGAGCAAACAGGAUUAGAUACCCGCGUAGUCCCUGUCUCUUAUAC
rnacentral:rRNA from 1 species